UACGAAGGGGGCUAGCGUUGUUCGGAAUCACUGGGCGUAAAGGGUGCGUAGGCGGGUCUUUAAGUCAGAGGUGAAAGCCUGGAGCUCAACUCCAGAACUGCCUUUGAUACUGAGGAUCUCGAGUUCGGGAGAGGUGAGUGGAACUGCGAGUGUAGAGGUGAAAUUCGUAGAUAUUCGCAAGAACACCAGUGGCGAAGGCGGCUCACUGGCCCGAUACUGACGCUGAGGCACGAAAGCGUGGGGAGCAAACAGG
rnacentral:rRNA from 1 species